UACGGGGGGGGCAAGCGUUGUUCGGAAUUACUGGGCGUAAAGGGCGCGUAGGUGGCCAACUAAGUCAGACGUGAAAUCCCUCGGCUUAACCGGGGAACUGCGUCUGAUACUGGAUGGCUUGAGUUUGGGAGAGGGACGCGGAAUUCCAGGUGUAGCGGUGAAAAUGCGUAGAUAUCUGGAGGAACACCAGUGGCGAAGGCGGCUCACUGGACUGGUAUUUGACGCUGAGGGUGCGAAAAGCGUGGGGGGAGCAAAACAGGG
rnacentral:rRNA from 1 species